UGAUAAUUAGUUUAACUUAAAACAAAUGAUUUCGACUCAUUAAAUCAUGAUCCAA
rnacentral:tRNA from 1 species